AUACGGAGGGUGCAAGCGUUAAUCGGAAUUACUGGGCGUAAAGCGCACGCAGGCGGUCAAUUAAGUCAGAUGUGAAAGCCCCGAGCUUAACUUGGGAAUUGCAUCUGAAACUGGUUGGCUAGAGUCUUGUAGAGGGGGGUAGAAUUCCACGUGUAGCGGUGGAAUGCGUAGAGAUGUGGAGGAAUACCGGUGGCGAAGGCGGCCCCCUGGACAAAGACUGACGCUCAGGUGCGAAAGCGUGGGGAGCAAACAGGAUUAGAUACCCUGGUAGUCCACGCUGUAAACGAUGUCGAUUUAGAGGUUGUGGUCUUGAACUGUGGCUUCUGGAGCUAACGCGUUAAAUCGACCGCCUGGGGAGUACGGCCGCAAGGUUAAAACUCAAAUGAAUUGGCGGGG
rnacentral:rRNA from 1 species